rnacentral:tRNA from 1 species
GGAAGGUUGGCCGAGCGGCUUAAGGCACCGGUCUUGAAAACCGGCAGGGGCGCAAGUCCCUCGUGAGUUCGAAUCUCACACCUUCCGCCA